rnacentral:rRNA from 1 species
UACGUAGGGUGCAAGCGUUGUCCGGAUUUAUUGGGUUUAAAGGGUGCGUAGGCGGUUCUGUAAGUCAGUGGUGAAAUACUCUAGCUUAACUAGAGGGGUGCCAAUGAUACUGCAGAACUUGAGUACAGAUGAGGUAGGCGGAAUUGACGGUGUAGCGGUGAAAUGCAUAGAUAUCGUCAAGAACACCGAUAGCGAAGGCAGCUUACUGGGCUGUAACUGACGCUGAUGCACGAAAAGUGUGGGGGAUCAAACAGG